GACAGAGGGUGCAAACGUUGUUCGGAAUUACUGGGCGUAAAGCGCGUGUAGGCGGCUAAGCAAGUCGGGCGUGAAAUCCCAUGGCUCAACCAUGGAAGUGCACCCGAAACUGCAUAGCUAGAGUCCUGGAGAGGAAGGUGGAAUGCUUGGUGUAGAGGUGAAAUUCGUAGAUAUCAAGCGGAACACCGGUGGCGAAGGCGGCCUUCUGGACAGUGACUGACGCUGAGACGCGAAAGCGUGGGGAGCAAAC
rnacentral:rRNA from 1 species